rnacentral:rRNA from 1 species
GGGGAAUAUUGGGCAAUGGGGGAAACCCUGACCCAGCAACGCCGCGUGAGGGAAGAAGGUUUUCGGAUUGUAAACCUCUGUCCUAUGGGAAGAAGGAAGUGACGGUACCAUAGGAGGAAGCUCCGGCAAACUACGUGCCAGCAGCCGCGGUAAUACGUAGGGAGCGAGCGUUGUCCGGAAUUACUGGGCGUAAAGGGUGCGUAGGCGGUCUUGUAAGUUGGAUGUGAAAUACCCGGGCUCAACCUGGGGGGUGCAUUCAAAACUGUGGGACUAGAGUACGGGAGAGGAAAGCGGAAUUCCUAGUGUAGCGGUGAAAUGCGUAGAUAUUAGGAGGAACACCAGUGGCGAAGGCGGCUUUCUGGACCGAAACUGACGCUGAGGCACGAAAGCCAGGGGAGCGAACG